AAACCUGCUCUUCCUUUCAUUCAAGGCUCCUCAAGUUCCUUCAAAAACGUGUUUUCUCAUUUUGUGAGUUGAGUGAUUGGUACAAAUGCAUAAUGAUAUUGGUUCUCAUAAAAUUGUGUUUCGUGUUUAUUUGCUUCAGCUCAGCUGAAAAAAAUGUCACUAAAUCUAGCGCUGAAAUUGAAUCAGAAAAAGACCAGGAAAUUCUUAAAGAAAGUAUCCAACUUUAUGGCUCGCCACGAUCUAUGAGUACGCUCGAUUUGCCGGGACCUCGACUAACCAGAAGCAAUUUAAAUGACGUAUCUACAGAAGUUAAAUUUAAUAAUAGUGGAACAGGAAACUAUAGUUUUGAGUUUUAUGCAAAAACGAAAAAAUUUGCCUAUCUCGAGCGCUACGAAGUUGGGGAAAUUAAAAAAAUAGGCAAUGAAACGAUUCAAACGGUUCGAGGGCAAUUCGCUGAAAGAAUUGAUGGAGGAAAAGAAUUAUUUUAUAUUAGAACUAUUGGGUAUACGGCCGACCAGAAUGGUUACCAACCAUUUUUACUUGACCUUUCAAAAGUUAAAACCACUUAUAUGCUCGUUUAUGCAAUUGCUCAUUUAGUUGGGAUUCCAAUGGGACCAAAAAUUGCGAUUUCAUCAACUGUGAUAGCAACACUGACAGGAGGAAAUUUGGGUUGAAUAUAAUUCUAAUUGAAGAAGUAAGAAUAUUAUUAAUUCUUGACCUACGACAAAAUCUACAAAUGCGUAAACAACUAUAUUGCGGUUUAAGUUGUCCUUAUUCUGUACAAUUUCUACAAUUAAAAACUUGUUUCCUGUUUCA